rnacentral:rRNA from 1 species
GAGUUUGAUCGUGGCUCAGGACGAACGCUGGCGGCGUGCCUAACACAUGCAAGUCGAACGAUGAAACCGCCCUCGGGCGACAUGAAGUGGCGAACGGGUGAGUAACACGUGACCAACCUGCCCCCCGCUCCGGGACAGCCGCGGGAAACCGCGAUUAAUACCGGACGACGCCCCCCUGCCGCAUGGGAGGGGGGCCAAAGCCCAGGCGGCGGGGGAUGGGGUCGCGGCCCAUCAGGUAGUAGGCGGGGUGACGGCCCACCUAGCUUUCGACGGGUAGCCGGGUUGAGAGACCGACCGGCCACAUUG